rnacentral:lncRNA from 1 species
AAAGCAAACAAGACAAAUAUGACUAUCGAUGAUCUAUGGACCACCUUUAAAACCAAAACAACAGAGACCAUCAACAAAAAUAUACCAACUAAAGUAAUUGAAAAAAAAUCAAAAUUACCAUGGGUAAAUAGAGACCUGAAAAGACUCAUAAGAAAGAAAAACAAACUCUAUAAAAAGAAAAGUCAUGACUCAAAUUACAAAAAUAAAUACAAAGAGAUAAAGACCAAACUUCAAAAAGAGAUGAGAAUAGCAUACUGGGCAUACAUCGAAAAUAUGAUCUUUGACAUCGAUAUAAAAGAACCAGACCAGCAUUGCUUCAACAAACAACCUAAAAAGCUGUACUCCUAUAUAAAAAGCCAAAGAAAAGAAAACACCGGCAUUGCAUCUUUAAGAAGCGAAGGCACCCUCCAUACAAACCCCUCUGAAAAAGCAAACAUAUUAAACCAUCAAUUUCAAUCUGCUUUCACAUCAGAAACUAACACAGAAAUACCAACGAAAGAAGCUAGUACAUACCAUAAAAUGGAACAAAUUAACAUCAGUCGGGAAGGUGUAUACAAACUCAUAAAAAACAUAAACACCAAUAAAG